rnacentral:lncRNA from 1 species
UUUUUUCCUCUUUUUUAUAUUUUUGUGUGGCCUCUUUGGUUCUUUCUUUUUUCCCUCAUUUGUACUCUUUGGGAUCUUUUUCUCAAUUAAGGGCAACACUCUAUGUUUUAUGCAAAUGUAUGCCUCUCGCGGUGUAUGCAAAUGAGCUCAACAUAAAGACAAGUGAAAACUAUCAUGAUGUAUGCAAAUGUAUGCCUCUCGCGGUGUAGCAGGAUACGCAAUGAUACUAGCACGUCAUGUAGCAAUAAUUGGGGCAAG